GACGAACGCUGGCGGCGUGCUUAACACAUGCAAGUCGAGCGGUAAGGCCCUUUCGGGGGUACGACGAGCGGCGAACGGGUGAGUAACACGUGGGUGACCUGCCCUCAGCUCUGGGAUAAGCCUGGGAAACCGGGUCUAAUACCGGAUAUGACUCCAUGACGCAUGUUGUGGGGUGGAAAGCCUUGUGCGGCUGAGGAUGGGCCCGCGGCCUAUCAGCUUGUUGGUGGGGUGAUGGCCUACCAAGGCGACGACGGGUAGCCGGCCUGAGAGGGCGACCGGCCACACUGGGACUGAGACACGGCCCAGACUCCUACGGGAGGCAGCAGUGGGGAAUCUUGCGCAAUGGGCGAAAGCCUGACGCAGCGACGCCGCGUGAGGGAUGACGGCCUGUGUAAC
rnacentral:rRNA from 1 species